GGCCAGCACGGGGUUUCCCGGGGCCGGACGGCAGGGUGGUUACAGGAGCGGCACAGGGGUGGCUGGAGAGGAGAAUUGGAGACAUCAAAGGCAAAGGUCACAGGCUGAGAUAAGAACAACUUACUGGAAACAGCAAUGAGGUGGCUGGAGAGGAGCAUUAAAGGCACACAAGGCAAAGAUCAUGGGCUCAGAUAAGAAUGAUUUAUGGGAAACAGCAGUAAGAUAAGAAAAACAAACAGUAACAGCAACAAAAAUAUCAACAAAGGUAUAAAACAAAGAAAUUAUUUACACAGAGGACCCACGACAAAAUACUGACUGACCAGCUGUCCCACCACACCACACCUUCUCCUGCCCAGAAAAUCAAUGGCCUUCUCAGACGUGAGAGAGUUUGUCGCCCCUGUGACUCUCCUGCCACUGAUGUGAGAUGAUACAAAAUAACAUUAGGAUCUUGGCUACGUCCAUACGACUCCCGGCUAUGCACCCCACACUAUGGCUACUGCAGAUAAUUAGCGCUGUCCUUGGCUGAAAUCAGGACACAUAUAUAUUGUGAUUUAAGAAGCCUAUAAAAUAGUUCUUGUAAAUUUGUCAGCUAGCUAAUAAUAAUAAUAUUUAAAACAUGACAUGUAUGAUAUAUGCUAUAUAUGCUAUGCCUUAAAUGCAGUAGGAUAAGCCCAUGAUUGCAUAUCACUAUAAGGAUAGUAAGGAAGCCCUUAAAUUGGAGAUACAACUUUAUUAGCUCACAGAAUUUGUUGAUGUUCACUGUUUGGAACCAUAUUUUCUGAGUAGUAAUCAUAUUUAUCCUGAGAAUUUUAAAGAGCUAUUCUUUGUUGACACUCUCCAUGUAGCAAAAUGGGAAAUGGCUCUGUUAUAAAAAGGCUAAAUAAGGAUAAUGUUUUGGAGAAGUAUGACUGUGUACUUCAUCUGCCUCGUCCUCAGCUGUCACCUAAGUAUUCUGUACUGGUCACUCCCAGAAUCACAAACCAUUUUGCAUGGCCCUUUUGUCUGAGCAGAGGGCAGAUAUUCUAGCCGAAACUUUCCAACAUUAUGCAAAAGACAAUUCCUUCUCUAAAGAUCAAACAAUUUUAGUAUAAUAGCAUAUUACACAGACAUUAACCUGAAAUCUGUGUCAUUAAGGGAGACUUAAACAUUAAAACAUUUUAAACAUUAACUUAUGCAUCACAAGUUAGGGACACAAUUGGCCAAAGCUCUUUUGAAUUACCUUCCUUGAAAAUGAUCAAAUACCCAAAUAGUUGUCAGAACAAAUAGAGUGAUAUAAGUGAUGCUCACACUGCAGUGUUGGUGCUGGCUAAAUAGACUGUCUGGAGUUAUCCCUCAGAAUGGUCUUCAAGUGGGGAACCUUUGUUCAGGGCUGCAAAGAUUUCCUGACACUAUUGUAGUAUGGGC